AGGGAAUCCUGUGCACGGCCCAAAUAGGAAGUUUCCUAGGCUAAAUGCCGUUAAAGUGUUUCCUGUCAUCUGAUGAGGCUGGAGAACGUGAGGGUGGGAACCAAUCACAAGCUGGACGCCAAGGGACAAUAAAUCCCCUUGAUCAACGUUUCACUCCUCAAAACACAAUGGCAUUUCAUUUGGACUGCUAAUCAGAGACUACAUAAAGGACGUCGCUGUUUUAGAUCAAUGUUGCCGGUAAGUCCAUUUUGUCACUUACUUUGAGCCGGUUGAUAUCUCGUGAGGCAGACUGGGGCGAGUAAAUGGCAGGCCCGGCCAGCAAUGAGCCACGCCUUCUUCUGCAAGUGUCAAAGUGACUAUUUGCCGACCUAUCAUUGUGGAUAACGUUGCAGUAUCCGAGAAAGCCGACCUUUAUCCCUUUUACUUUGACGAUCAGCGGUCUCUAACAAAAAGUUAAACAAAAGAUACGAGCAUGUUUGCAUGAUGACACGCCAUGCAGGAUGCUGGAACCAAAAGACGUACCCUUUUGUCAGGCCCUGAAAACACUGAAGUUUUGAGAGAGGAUAUCUUAACCAUUUGACUUUGACAGUCCCUGACAACCCUGAAGUUUUGAAAUAGAAUAUUUCAACUAUUUGACUUUGUCAGUGCCUGACAAAACGGAUAUGGCCCGGGUGUGCCGAUAGCAAAUCAGUUUCAGAGUGAAAAGAUUAUCUUUGGAUACAACAGCGAGAUCGAAGUGAUGAUGAUAACGACGAGAAUGCCAGUGAAGACAACGAUGAUAUGUAUGCCGGACCAGCAUUCUCGAUGAGUAUCUACCUUCUCGUGCUGCGGAUGCUAGUGGCGAUGAUGAUGAUGAUGACGAUGGCGAUGGUUGAUGGUGGUGAUCAUGAUGACAAAGACCGGGGUAAUUUGAGACUCGAGGUUGCCGACUGCCAGGUCUGAUUGUCUCAAGAUGGGUGCUACCGACCGGAGGCUGUCAUUGUACGAACACAUCCCCAUGUUGUUGAAAAUUUUUUGUAUGCCAUCAAAACUGAUGUCUCCAACAAAGUCAAUGGUUGCCGAGGACACGUCUAUCAUCAAAGAGAAAAUGGUAAAGUAGACGUUAAAAACAUUUGAUAUACCGUACGUUUGGAGAUAACUAAAUGAAAAUAAAAGUUUAUAAAGUUGAUACAAUAUUGAAACAUGAAACACACACAAAACAAAUAGUAUAUGGAUUUGAAGAAUGUCAAUCAAUUUCUACUUUAUCAUUUCUACUUUGUUUAUCCU